UGGGGAAGAGGGGGAGAGGGAGAGAGAAUCAGAGUAGGGGGAGGGAUGGUGGGGAAGAGGGAGAGGGAUGGGAGGGGGAUGGAAAAUGGUAGUUUGGUUAAGCCUAUAACGGAAAAUGGCAGCUCUAUUACGUCUAUAACAGAAAAUGGUUAGUGGUGACUGUUUUGUUAUUUUUUGAAAGUUAAGUGAUUGAAUUGAAACCUGAGUGAUUGUUUUGUCAGCUACCCUAAAGUUGAGUGACUAUUGGU
rnacentral:lncRNA from 1 species